rnacentral:lncRNA from 1 species
UCUUCUUAAAUAGUGUCUGACAUUUAUUGAAAGCAAGGAAAACAUUUUUGUACAGAUAGUGUAAACCGGAAAGAGUGCAAGGUUGUAAUGCAGUGUCGAACAAAAGGCACACACAUCAGACAGACAGCUGCAAAUUCAGAAGAAAACUGGAUUGUGGGGAAAAGUAAGUGGUCCACAGGAGAACAUGAGAGACUGGAUUUGGCUGCCAGGAACACGACAGGUGUCUGGGAGGGGAGAGGGCAUGGGUCCCGCUGAAGGUGGAAGGCCAGCUGCCUGAAUGCAUGUCCACGGGCAGACUGAUGCAGGCUGGUGGCAUGGCAGGGGCGGCUGACAGCGGCCGGCCGUGGGUGGUGUGUCCAGUGUGUAACGCGAGCCCAGCUUGCAGCUGGGGCCCAGGACAGCGUCCAAGUGUGCACGGGAGGGGCCGGGCUGGCAGCACAGGGCGGCGGCGACGCGCUCCAGAGCGAGGCCCGGCGGCCGCAGCAGCGGGAGCCUGGAGCGCUAUUCCUGGAACAAAGGCAAGCACUACGCGGGCGGGAGGGGACAGCAGCGCGCAGGGGACAUUGCAGCGGCCACGCGAAGGGGGAGGGGCGCGGCGGGAGGCCGCCUAUGGCCACCCUGGCGGUGGCGGUGGCGGUGGCGGCGACAGGCGCAGCCCACCCUCCCCGGAGCACCCGCCGCAGGCCAGGGGCUCUCGCGGCCUAGAAGUCCUCGUCCUCCUCCCAUCCAAAGACCCGCUUCAUCUCGGCCAGGAAGCCCCGGUAAUCACUGAGCAGGGGGCUGUCCUUCUCGAUGUAGGGGAUCACCCACUGCAGGGCCGGGCCCGUGAGGCGGGUGAUGAGGAACGUCACCUUCAGGGCGUCGGUGGAGAACGUCUUGUCGUCCACGAACAUGUAGGAGCCGGUCUGCACGAUGAACUCCGGGAGCCGGUCGGUGUCGCCGUCAAACGUCUCGGGAAAGGGAAUCGGGUUCCUCCAGCGACGCCCCAAGUGCCGGAUGGGCCAGGCCAUGAAGGCCUUCAUCAGCUGCACCCGGCCGUCCAUGGCGCUGUGCUUGGCCCGCUAGGCUUAGCUGGGUUUGUGGGCAGGGUGGAUGUCAGCACCAAGGCGUCGCCGGAAGUGCGUGGUUGUGGAGGCGGGUCCAGGUCCGGGUGUGUGUGUGGGGAGAGGGAGUGACGU